CGGGGACCCGCCGGAACCUCGGAUUUGCAGAGGACCCUGAGGUGACAGACACAUUCUGGUUUCAAAUUGAACAGCAUGCAUUGAUCUUGAGCCGCAUCUGUGUGAUUCUGGGUCACUACUUUUGGCUUUUGAAUAGUUACGAUGAGUGCUUGCAAGAAAAAGGAAGCUAUCACUUAAAAGUAAAAAACAGUUGUUCACCUGAGAUGAAUAGAUUCCAUGUGGAUGGGCUUCUUGUAUAUUAAACUUAUGACAUUUUA
rnacentral:lncRNA from 1 species